rnacentral:rRNA from 5 species
CAGUAACGGCGAGUGAAGCGGCAACAGCUCAAAUUUGAAAUCUGGCUCCUUCGGGGUCCGAAUUGUAAUUUGUAGAGAGUGCUUCGGGCGAGACCUCGGUCUAAGUCCAUUGGAACAUGGUGUCAUAGAGGGUGAGAAUCCCGUAUGCGACCGUGGCUCGAGCCCAUGUGAAGCCUCUUCGACGAGUCGAGUUGUUUGGGAAUGCAGCUCAAAACGGGUGGUAAAUUUCAUCUAAAGCUAAAUACUGGCUGGAGACCGAUAGCGCACAAGUAGAGUGAUCGAAAGAUGAAAAGCACUUUGGAAAGAGAGUCAAACAGUACGUGAAAUUGUUGAAAGGGAAGCGCUUGCAACCAGACCUGCCCGUAGGCGAUCAGCCGCUGUUCUCAGCGGUGCACUCGCUCUGCGAUCAGGCCAGCAUCGGUUUCGGCGGUCGGAUAAAGGCCUUGGGAAUGUAGCUUCCCUUCGGGGGAGUCUUAUAGCCCUCGGUGUAAUGCGGCCAGCCGGGACCGAGGACCGCGCUUCGGCUAGGAUGCUGGCGUAAUGGUUGUAAGCGACCCGUCUUGAAACACGGACCAAGGAGUCUAACAUCUAUGCGAGUGUUUGGGUGUCAAACCCAUACGCGGAAUGAAAGUGAACGGAGGUGAGAACCCUUAAGGGCGCAUCAUCGACCGAUCCAGAUGUCUUCGGAUGGAUUUGAGUAUGAGCAUAGCUGUUGGGACCCGAAAGAUGGUGAACUAUGCCUGAAUAGGGUGAAGCCAGAGGAAACUCUGGUGGAGGCUCGCAGCGGUUCUGACGUGCAAAUCGAUCGUCAAAUUUGGGUAUAGGGGCGAAAGACUAAUC